AUGACUUCUUGUUUAUGGCCUGGGCCUCUUCAAGCGUUGGAGAUAGGCCCAGGCCAACAUCACUUCUUCAUUAGGCCCAGGCCUCUUCAAGGGUCAGGGAUAGGCCCAGGCCCACAUCACUUCUUGCUUUUGGCCCGGGCCUCUUCAAGGGUCAGGGAUAGGCCCAGGCCCAUAUCGCUUCUUGCAUUAGGCCCGGGCC
rnacentral:lncRNA from 1 species